UGAUGGGGUAUGCAGGCAACGUUUCCAUUUGAUCUUAUUGAUUUUCUGGAAAAUGUAAGUGUGCAAUUCUGCAACUAGAAGAUACAGCAUGUGAAAGAUCUAUAUUUAUCCAUGUAAUAUAAAGUUAUUUUAAUUAUUAUGUUAAUGUCAAUUUAUAUAUUAAGUUUAUCAAUGUGCUAAUCAACAUGCUAUGAUAUAAUGAUGACAUCUGUUACAUAAUUCUGCAUAUUUUGCUUCUCUGCACAUUACAUUUUAAGCAGACUGGUGUGUGACUACUAAAUUGUAGCAUGCUGAAUAAAACGAAUUCCCCAAUACACCAUUUUUGUGCAACUGUAAACCCCUAAAGUGUAGCUCAUACUUAACAGUAUAAAACUGCAUAUUCAAC